GGAGAGGUGCCUGAGUGGCCGAAAGGGCCGGUUUGCUAAACCGUUAUACCCUGCAAAGGGUAUCGAGGGUUCGAAUCCCUCCCUCUCCG
rnacentral:tRNA from 1 species